UAUUGGAAACUAGUCGGUAUUGUUUUUAGUGAUAUUAAAGAUUUGGAUAUACAUUCAAAAUGUUUAAAAGGGAAUUAUAAUAAUAAAAAAAAGGAAAACAUCCGUAAAGUACGAGUACCAGUCUUAAAGCUUAAUUUUUUUAGUACAGUCUUUUGAAAAAUUAUAUAACAGCACAAGUUCUCCAAUGUCGGAGUGCAUGUUUAGAUGACAUUAUAAUAAAAGUUUUAGCAGGUCAGCUCCUUGCAAGGCCAUUGCACGACUUUUGUAAACUUUUGCACGGAUUCUGUCGAAAAUGUAUGAUCUCCCAUGCAGCUGGUAGUAGCAAUCAAUCAUUAAAUGCUGUCAUAUAUAAUCUCGUCGUCAGUGUCUGCUCUGCUGCCAUUCCUGAAAUGCUGAUUGUAUUGAAAUUAAAAAAUUUAUGUCUCUAAUAAAGCCAGCGAGUAAUCGCUUACCACCAGUGA